rnacentral:rRNA from 1 species
CAGCAGCCGCGGGAAUACGGAGGGGGCUAGCGUUGUUCGGAAUUACUGGGCGUAAAGCGCACGUAGGCGGCUUGGUAAGUUAGAGGUGAAAGCCUGGAGCUCAACUCCAGAAUUGCCUUUAAGACUGCCGAGCUAGCAGGUGAGAGAGGUAAGUGGAAUUCCGAGUGUAGAGGUGAAAUUCGUAGAUAUUCGGAAGAACACCAGUGGCGAAGGCGGCUUACUGGCUCAUACUGGACGCUGAGGUGCGAAAGCGUGGGGAGCAAACAGGAUUAGAGACCCCCGUAGUCCCUGUCUCUUAUAC